AUUGAACGCUGGCGGAAUGCUUCACACAUGCAAGUCGAACGGCAGCACGGGGCAACCUGGUGGCGAGUGGCGAACGGGUGAGUAAUACAUCGGAACGUGCCCAAUCGUGGGGGAUAACGUAGCGAAAGUUACGCUAAUACCACAUACGAUCUACGGAUGAAAGCGGGGGAUCGCAAGACCUCGCGCGAAUGGAGCGGCCGAUGUCAGAUUAGGUAGUUGGUGGGGUAAAGGCUCACCAAGCCAACGAUCUGUAGCUGGUCUGAGAGGACGACCAGCCACACUGGGACUGAGACACGGCCCAGACUCCUACGGGAGGCAGCAGUGGGGAAUUUUGGACAAUGGGCGCAAGCCUGAUCCAGCCAUUCCGCGUGCAGGAUGAAGGCCUUCGGGUUGUAAACUGCUUUUGUACGGAACGAAAAGGCUCUGGUUAAUACCUGGGGCUCAUGACGGUACCGUAAGAAUAAGCACCGGCUAACUACGUGCCAGCCGCCGCAGUAAAAC
rnacentral:rRNA from 1 species